AUUUAAAUUAGAAUUUUGGUGAUACGCGAGUUUUGUUUCUGAAUGUCUACAUUUGUAUUGUUUUUAGGGAUGUUUAGCAAAACAUGAAGAAGAGACGGUAACAUCAGAAGGGAGAAAAACAAUGCCUGAAUGAGAAAAGAAAAACAAAUGGUUUGUGUGACAGGGUUCAUUGAGUCCAUCUGGAUGCUUGGUGGCCUGGUGAAGCUUUGUGACUCCCAUUGUAUUGUAUCCUGGAAUAAACUCCUGGGACUAUGGGCAACAAUGGUCCCAGACUAUCAAAGAGUGGAAACACACACAUACAGUACACACACAUAUACACACAUAUACACGGACUCACACAUUUGUUCACCCAGGAGCUGGUUGAAAUGAACUCUUUGCGCUGACUUUGGUCUGCUCUGUUGUCUACAGUCUCCUCAGUAAUAGGGGUUUGGGUGAUUGUCUGUGAGAGUUAAUGAGUUUAAAGCUCAGGGCCGAGCAGACGGUGGGACAUACGCUCUAUCAGAUAAGAUAAUGGUGCUUCUGCGCUCUGCCUUUCCUGUUAAUUGUAUACUAUCUUCUCUUUGAUCUAUGGAUGUGUGAUUGUGUAGUUAGAGCUCUUUUUAUUUUAUUUUGGAAGAUCUAUUUCAUAGCCAGAAAGCAAACAUUGUGCUGAUUGCCACUGAUGCAAAGGGUUUUAAGUUGAAACAUGUUACUGUUUUAGGUUCACAUAUUUUUUUCAUCAUGUUUUUUUUUUUUUUAGCAUGGCCAUGUUUAAAAGAAGGCUGGAGGCCCUGCAUACUCCAUCUGAAGCAACAAAAUGGGCUCUUGUUGAUGCAGUUAUGUGACCAAAUUUGUGUCAUUUUGCCCACCCCUUCUCAACCCAAGGCCAGGGCUAAAUCUCAUAGGUGACUGGCGAGUUUUGUGUGAUUGAUCAGAGGUUUGCAGGCGUGUUUUAUGAUGUAAAAGAAAUUGCUCAUACAACAAUGAUGACAUUUUGCGCCAACUACUCUACUUCUAGAAGCUGGCUGCAUUCAAACUAGGGCUACACAAUGUAUCGCAAAUGUAUUGUCAUCACAAUAGCAUCCUGUGCAAUAGGCAUAUCGCAAGAAUUGGUAAACUGCAAUAAAUGGUCUGCUGAUA